AGGACGAACGCUGGCGGCGUGCUUAACACAUGCAAGUCGAGCGGAAAGGCCCUUCGGGGUACUCGAGCGGCGAACGGGUGAGUAACACGUGAGCAACCUGCCCCUGGCUCUGGGAUAGCCUCCGGAAACGGGGAUUAAUACCGGACAUUCACUUUCUUCCGCAUGGUCGGGAGUGGAAAGUUUUUCGGCCAGGGAGGGGCUCGCGGCCUAUCAGCUUGUUGGCGGGGUAACGGCCCACCAAGGCGACGACGGGUAGCCGGCCUGAGAGGGCGACCGGCCACACUGGGACUGAGACACGGCCCAGACUCCUACGGGAGGCAGCAGUGGGGAAUAUGCGCAAUGGGCGAAAGCCUGACGCAGCGACGCCGCGUGGGGGAUGAAGGCCUUCGGGUUGUAAACCCGUUUCUACCAGGAGCGAAUCCAGACGGUACCUGGGAAGAAGACGCCGGCUAACUACGUGCCAGCAGCCGC
rnacentral:rRNA from 1 species